UUAAGUUCAGCGGGUAUCCCCACCUGAUCCGAGGUCAACCUUUAGAAAAUAGGUUAUUCUGCGGCACGGGCAGGUCUCGUCUCCGUAGCGGUAUGUUUCCACGACGCCGGGUGAGAGACUGCUCGGCCGGGGCAUUUGAGGCGUGCGACGUGCGCAUCGCCCAACACCAAGCGAGGCUUGAUUGGUGAAAUGACGCUCGA
rnacentral:misc_RNA from 1 species